rnacentral:lncRNA from 1 species
GACCAAACCCUUUCCAGCACUGCCCUGCCACCGCAGAUGCUCAGCAGCUCUGAGUCACCUCUAUGCACCGUGUCUGAGGAUGGAUGCCAGAAAAGGCUUCUCUGUGCAGGAUGAUUAGAAGCUGUGAAGUACUGAGUACUGGAAACCCAUAUUGUUCCUGGAUGGAAACCACACAUAAAUUUGACAAUUAGCAGGAUGUGGUACUCUGAAAUGCUUCUCCUGUCCCAUUUGCCCAACCACUCUUCCUUCCCCUGAACCCAAGGAGAAGGAGGACAGACAUUCGUUUGCCCUGAGGGUCUGAGCCCUUCCAUGUAGAGCCACAUCUGCAUAGACCUGUGUGCUGAUACCCACCACCAGGAGCAGCUCAGGG